AGAUUCAUAAUUACCAGUGACAGGAAACUCAACUGAAACUGGCUUACAAGAAGUGAUGUUUUGGCUCCUGUAAUUGAAAGAUACAGAAACAGCUGACUUCAGGCACGGUUCGAUCCAGCUUCUAUUUGACACAAAGGUACUAUUGGGAGCCCCACGGAAUGAAUGAGCUCCAGAAGCUCUGACGCUGGCGCCCAUCUGGACAAAGGGAUGGACACAGAUGACAGCUCCCGUGGAUGCAUUCUAGGUCUUAGAACAAAGCUCAUCCUCAGCUCGACUGACGUGUGUGUGUGCUAAGUCACCCAGUCAUGUCCCACUCUUUGUGACCCCAUGGACUGUAGCCUGCCAGGCUCCUCUGUCCAAGGUAUUCUCCAGGCAAGAAUACUAGAGUGGGUAGCCAUUCCCUUCUCCAAGGGAUCUUCCAGAGCCAGGGAAUGAACCCAGGAGAUUUUUUUUUUUUUUUUAAAUACCAUUAGUGCCGUAUGGGAAGCCCCAGGUUUCUGGUUUCUCCACCUUUAGGCAAUUCUUGAGGAUGUUUAGGGCUUGGAGGGUGAGGACUGGAAGGGGAAUUCACUGUAGAGGAAGUGGGACCCUCUUCCUCUGGGUCUGGAGAGGAGGGUGAACCAGAGGGUAAAGAAGCAGAUGGUGUGAUGGUCAGCUUCGCAUGUGUGUAUGUGUGUUUAGCUGAAUUGAAGCACAGCUGAUUCACACUGUUGUCUUAGUUCCGGGUGUAUAGCAAAGUGAUUCAGUUAUGCAUAUGUAUUAUUGUUCAGAUUCUUUUCCCUUACAGACUAUACAAGAUAUUGCACCUAGCUCCUUGUGCUACAAAGGAGCUGCUUGUUGUUUACCUGUGUUAUAAGUAGUAGUGUAUGUCUGUUAAUCCCAAACUCCUACUUUAUCCCCCCACCCCACGAGACCCCUGCCCCAUGUGGUGGUUAAUUUUAUGUGUCAACUUGGCUGGGCUGCAUGGGGCCAGAAAUCUGUCUGCUUAGAGGUCAUUCUGGGUGUGUCUGUGCAGAUGUUUCUGGAUGAGAAGGACAUUUGGAUCAGUGGACUGAGUUCAGCCGCUCACCCCCACCCCCAGUCUGGGUGGUCCCCUCCAGUCCGUGGAAGGCGGGAAUAGGACACAGAGGUGGGGAGGGAGAGUGGCCCUCUGUGCCCUGUCCUUCACCUGGAGCAUCCCCGGACUUUAGACCCUGUCGUCGGCUGUCCUGCAUCGACCAGCUCUGCAGGUCUUAGGACUGAUUCUCCAUAACUGUGGGAGCCAAUUCCUUACCAACCAGCCAAUCCAUCAGUCCUAUUGGUUCUGCUCCUCCAGAGAACCUAGGCUAAGCCAGGUGGGUUUUAGCAGAGCAAACGUGUAAGGAGGAUAUCCUUGCCUGUCACUGACUCAAGCUUUCUCUUCCUCACUCGUCUGCGCUUCUCUAAUGUAGAGGAGGCUGCCAGUUUAUUUUAUUUUAUUUUAUUUAAAUAAUAUUUAUUUGGCUAUGCUGGGUCUUAGUUGUGGCCUGUGGAAUCUAGUUCCCCGACCAGGGAUCGAACCCUGGCCCACUGCACUGGCAAUGCGGAGUCUCAGCCACUGGACCACCAGGGAAGUCCCCAUCCUGUUUACUAACCUUUGUCACCUCACUAAGAAGGGAUCCUAGCAGUUUAGAAAGUUUCAGUGAGAUGAGCAGGGCUGUAGACACAAGGUUGUGAAGAGUUUUAAUAGAGUCUUUACGUAAUUGUCAAGGACUUGGCAGCUUCUGGGUUUCCUUUCAGGGGGCAGGUUUUAUAUCUUUAUAUCACACCUACAUGUGACCAGAACUGCCCAGACGGAGGCUGCCGAGACUGAAAAAUAAAACAAAAAUAUUUAUUUGUCAAUUUUUUAGACUCUUCCCAAAGCACCGUCUUUAUUUAUGGGCUUUGGGCAGCCAGCUCGAUUUAGGAAGACUGAUGAUUACUCAUAACACUUGGCACAGUGUCUUAUGUCUAGAGCAGUAAGACUAAUGUUUUUUGAGGCUCCCAUAAGAGGUAACGCCAUUGCCACCUAGAAAAUGAACCCAUGCCGCUACAACUCUGCAAUUUCAGAGGGUCCAUGCACCCCCCCUGGUCUCUAACACAGGGCAUGCGUGCAUUUGUGCCCACUCAUGUCUGACUCUUUGCGAGCCCAUGGACUAUAGCCUACCAGGCUCCUCUGUCCAUGGAAUUCUCCGGGCAAGAAUAUUGGAAUGGGUUGCCAACUUCCCCAGGGGAUUUUCCCAACCCAGGGAUGAAACCUGCAUCUCCUGUACCUCUUGCAUUGGCAAGCUGAUAUUUUCUCACUGAACCACCUGGGAAGCCCCCUAAUACGCGGAGGUGGCUCUUAAGAGAUUUUCCUUCACUCUUUCCAAGUGUCUUACUUAUGCUGACACAUGUUUCAUCUCUGGCUGACGGCCUCGGAGAUUUCCAAGACCAUAUAUAUCCAUUCCGUCCACACACUGAUGGAGAAACCGCUGAACGUGAAUCUGGGUCUGCCCCUGGGCGCCGUGAUGGCAGGGGUGUGUUCCCACCUCUCUGGGUUCCCAUCUGUAAAGUGGGCACAAUUCCUGUCAUUUCAGAAGUUGUGGGAGGGGGAACCACGGAAUAAAGAAUUCAUAUGCUUUGUUCUGUACUGGGCUGCCCCGUGGAACUGUUUGACGAAUGAUUUCCCUGAAUCGCCCAGUUGUUCUGGCCUCGGGCAGACACUGCCAGCGGCUCUGAAGUCGAGUGAGAUUGGAAACAGUGCCGCAAAGCCUCCCUCCAAGUGUGGGCGCGUGUGUCUGCCCGGCAGGGCGUCUACCUGAGUCUCCUCCUCGUUUCCAUCACCCGCUCCUGGCAGGCGUCUGGUCCUUUCUGUUUCUAUUUUGGUGCUGAGUUCGCCUUCACACAACAGUGCCUCCUAAAGGGACCUCAGUCUUCC